GAACGCAUAUUGCGCUCUUUGGUAUUCCGAAGAGCAUGCUUGUUUGAGUAUCAGUAAACACCUCAAAGCUUUUGGAUUUUUUUUUUUUUGAAAGCUUUGGACUUGAGCAAUCCCAACACCAAUCUUUUUCAGAUCGGCGGCGGGUUGCUUGAAAUUCAGGUGCAGCUGGACUUUCUCCUGAGCUAAAAGCAUAUUCAUUUAGUCCCGUCAAACGGAUUAUUACUUUUGCUGCAGCUAACAUAAAGGGAGUUUGACCGCAUUGGCUGACUGAUGCAGGAUUUCACAAGGGUCGGCAACGAUUCUUGUUAAACUCGAUCUCAAAUCAAGUAAGACUACCCGCUGAACUUAAG
rnacentral:misc_RNA from 1 species